CUGGGAGCGGGGAAUUGGGGAUGGGAAGGUGGGCUGGGGUUUGGGGUACCCCGUGGUGCACACAGGGGCUUCCCCUUCCCCUCCCAAACCCCUCCGGUGUGGGGGAAAUGGAGGCCAAGUGUGCAAAGUGCUGCUGGGGAGAGCUUUGGGGUGCGUUCGGGCUCCUUGGUGCCGUGUGGGGCUGGGGACAGCACCGGGUCCGAGUGUGGUGCCUGCUCCCAGCUGCAGAGGUGGGUGAGCGAUCGCUUUGGAAAAAAAAAUCAGUGCAAAAAAAAAAACAUUUACAGGAUUUAUGGUGGUGUUUACCAGCCGAGGAGGUGGCAGCGGUGCCGUUCGUCACCUCUGGCCCCCGAGCAGCCUCUGCGGUGAGCGGCCUGCUGCCACCCGGGGCAAAGGGAAGAGGAACCAGAGAAAAUCUGCAGAUGCCAGGCCUGGUGGCAGGGGCAGCGUGCACAUGUGUGUGCAAACAGACACACGCUCACAUGUGCACACACACGUGCACACAGGUACUUGCACAAAAGCACACGCACGCUGGCAUGCUUGUGCACACACACAUGCAUGGACACGUGCACACACAUGUACGUGCUCCCACACACACAUGUGAACCCACACACGCAUGUGCACAUGGCUGCUGUGCACCCCAGCUGUUGCACACAGCCACACGUGCACACCCAUGGAAGCACAUGCAUGCUAGUGUGCGCCUGCACAUGCAUGGUUGCACACACACAGCCAUGCACACACACCCCCGUGCACCUACACACCCCCACCUGUGCACACACCCACUGUGUGCACAUUGCUGUGCACAACCCCCUGUGCAAAUCCCUGUGUGCACACACCCCCAUGCACACACACACAUGCACACGCACACUAUGUACACACACACAGAGCUAUGCACACACACACUGGUGCACACCCACACCCCUUGCACACCCACAACCACACCCUAUGUGUACACACACACACUCAUCACACCCACACCCCUGGUACACCCCCACCCAUGCACACACACAGACACACCCCAUGUGCACAUACACACACAGCUAUGCACACACACCCCAUGUGCACACACGCACAUGCACACACACACAGCUAUGCACACCCACACCCAUGCACACACACCCCAUGUGCACACACACAUGCACACACACAGCUAUGCACACACACCCCCCUUGCACACCCACACCCAUGCACACACACCCCAUGUGCACACAGCUAUGCAUAUCCACACCCCUUGCACACCCACACCCAUGCACACAAACACCAUGUGCACACACAUGCACACAUACAGCUAUGCACACACACAUCUUGCACACCCGCACCCAUGCACACACACCCAUGUGCACACACACACAUGCACACAUACAGCUAUGCACACACACACCCCUUGCACACCCACACCCAUGCACGCACACACCAUGUGCACACACACACAUGCACACACCCCCCCCUUGCACACACACCCCAUGCACACCCCCCCCUUGUACACCCACCCACACCCCAUAUGCACACACCCCCCCAUACACCCCCCCAUACACACCCACACCCCAUACACCCCCCA
rnacentral:lncRNA from 1 species